rnacentral:lncRNA from 1 species
AUGCUCUCUCCAUCGGCCAUCUGCAGGACGCUCCUGAAUGGCCCUCCCUGCAGGGCGCCUGCAGCAGACCCCGGGUGGCCCUCUGGGCUGUCUCCAGGCAGUUUCUGGUGUCACAGGCCACAGUGCCAGAGAGGGCAGCUCAGUCCACGCUCCCCUCCCCUCCCCCGUGCCCCAAACCUCAGGGACACAGUCCUUGUGGCCUGCCGUGCUGAGCCACCAAGAAGUUUUAAAGUACAUCAGGAGAUGUGGCCUUUGAAAAGGUUUGUUACUCACGAGACAAGGGACAGGCCACUCCACACAGGCCAUGGGGAGGCCAGUGGGCAGAGCCCACCAGGGCAGUGGGCGGGAAGGAUUGCUGCUUUCUUCAGGAGGGGACCUGUGGGUCAGGCUUGGGAUCAGCUAGUUAGAAUAGUGUCAGUGGCUCGGCCACAGGCUGUCCAGGUCCACCCCUGUCCUGGGGUGGUAGGCACAGAGGCUCAGGGUGAGAGCCCAGCAGGAGGGCCUGGGCGCGGGCUCCGUGUGUGCUGAUCUGUACAGAAGCCAGUCACAGGCCAGGGGUUUUCGUCUCUAGGAACGAGCUAGUCCCCGGAGGGGUCCCUCUGGGCUGAGAAAAGAACCAAACACUAAAGAGACGUGUGGAGCCCCAAGCCCUUCUGCUGGCCCUGGUCAGGAGGGAGCUGCUCAGUGGGGAGGUGAGGACUUGAAGGCAGGAGCCUGAAGUUCAUUUUCAGGAACAGAAGCAGCAGGGAGCGUGAGGCAACCGGGCCCAGCCCGGAAACUUGGCAGGAAACAGGUGUGCUCCGGCAGGUGAGACCAAAACGGAACUGUCACAUUUACAGCAUGAGAGGCGCGUAGGGAUUGCACCUACCAAGGAAGAGCCGGGAAGCCCUCCAACCCUGCAGUGGCCUCUGGGCAGCGCCCCGGUGCACCUCACCUGGGCCGUGGGAAGAGGAGCAUCCAGGCACCUUGAGCCUUGUUUUCUGUCCUUCUUCUUUCUUGUUCUCAAUUCCUACUGGCUGAAGAGUGUGAGGGAAUCCUUACGUUAUUAAAAACAAAACAAAACAAAACAAAAAAAAUCAUGCUUAGAAAUGUGGGCAGAAAGAGGCAGCAGUCCAGAGCCCGUUAGUGCAGGCCUGACAGGAACCCCUGGGCCCCACAGUGAUCCACCCUGCAGGGAAAUCUUUUCGAGGAGGGCGCCGUGCCAGACCUGGCUUCCACUUGGAUACCUGCCUCCACAGAUGUUGGUAGCAGUCCUCCCUCCUCGGAGGUUGGAAUCGGUAGAUUGGUACCUGGGAAGGGGCCAGGUGGUUAGAGGUGGUCAGAACCGGAACACUAACACUAUUGAUCAUUUUAAAGAGAUAAUUCAACGACAGCAUCGUCCCGACCCAGUGCCACCCCCACCUCUCCUCUACCAGAGGAUGUCUGUGCCCUAGGGCAGCUGCCCCGGCUGCUGUCCCUACGGGCAGCGCCGAUCUGCUUCCUGCACCUGGGGAUUGGCUUCCUCGGGGUAUUUCCCUCCGGGGAUCACGGAGUCCCUGGCCCCUUGUGUGCCUCCUUCAGGGCAGCAGAGGCUCCUCCACAGUGGGGGCGUCCGCUCCGUCCCAGCUGGGUGGUGAUCCCACACACGGAGGACUGGCUCCAUCUCUUCCAUCUUCUUACUACCAGCCACCCUGCUGCUGCCCCAAAUCGCUACACCCGCCCGCUAUUCCUGAGAAGGGGCAUACGGGACACUGGAGUGGGCGGGCCAGGGGCGGAGUGGAGUGUCCCCCCCCAGUGAGGCCAUGGAGUCCUGCACAGCCCCUGGUCAGGCUUCAGCUUCCUUAGCAGUAAAGGAGUCUCCGAUUCACUUUGUAAAGUUGUUUCUAAAUUUAAAUAAUUGACAUCGAGGUGAACUAUUUGUAACAUAGAACUUGCUGCUGUGACCAUCUC